UACGUAGGGGGCAAGCGUUGUCCGGAAUCAUUGGGCGUAAAGAGCUCGUAGGCGGUUUGUCGCGUCUGCUGUGAAAACUCGGGGCUUAACUCCGGGCCUGCAGUGGGUACGGGCAGACUAGAGUGCGGUAGGGGAGACUGGAAUUCCUGGUGUAGCGGUGAAAUGCGCAGAUAUCAGGAGGAACACCGGUGGCGAAGGCGGAUCUCUGGGCCAUUACUGACGCUGAGGAGCGAAAGCGUGGGGAGCGAACAGG
rnacentral:rRNA from 1 species